GACGAACGCUGGCGGCGUGCUUAACACAUGCAAGUCGAACGGAAAGGCCCUGCUUUUGUGGGGUGCUCGAGUGGCGAACGGGUGAGUAACACGUGAGUAACCUGCCCUUGACUUUGGGAUAACUUCAGGAAACUGGGGCUAAUACCGGAUAGGAGCUCCUGCUGCAUGGUGGGGGUUGGAAAGUUUCGGCGGUUGGGGAUGGACUCGCGGCUUAUCAGCUUGGUGGUGGGGUAGUGGCUUACCAAGGCUUUGACGGGUAGCCGGCCUGAGAGGGUGACCGGCCAAAAUGGGACUGAGGUACGGGCCAGAACUCUUACGGAGGGAGGAGGUGGGAAUAUUGCACAAUGGGCGGAAGCCUGAUGCAGCAACGCCGCGUGCGGGAUGACGGCCUUCGGGUUGUAAACCGCUUUCGCCUGUGACGAAGCGUGAGUGACGGUAAUGGGUAAAGAAGCACCGGCUAACUACGUG
rnacentral:rRNA from 1 species